GCUGGAAGAGAAGAGGGAAGAGAAAAGGGAAGAGAAGAGGAAGAAGCAAGAUAAGAAGAGGAAAAACCAAAAGGAGGAGUUGCAGCCUCAAAAAAGUCGCCCGCGAUGUCACCAUCUAUAUUAGGAUCUCCUUCUCCAGCGACUACUUCAUUUGUACCAUGUAUCCGAAAGACACGAAGAUUAACUUCUGUUGUUUGGAGGGAUGCCAAACAUAUUUAUCAUCGUAACAUACUUGUCAAAGCUCAGUGCAACCACUGUCUUGAGGUGUUUCCAGCUGGACGUGGCGUGGGUACUAAUGGUGUACAAAGGCGCUUGGCUGCUUGCGAAAAAAGCAGGAGGAAUCAGUAACUGAACAUGAUGACCCCAAGGACACAGAAGAAACUUCCUGUGUCCUCAUUGCUGCACUGCAGUCUUUCAGCCAAGCUUUGAUGAAUGCUGAUAUAGAAAAAGAAAUCGUGGCAGAGUUACAUGCCUUCUUGUAUCCCACCAAAGAUGGCAAGGGAUCUCUUAUCAGCAGAAUCACUACUAUUGAUGCACAGAUGACAACCGUGAAUUUAACCUGUUGUGUCUGAUGCUCCUGUUCUUUAUCUGUUUGUCAUUAUGCCCGACCCUUGUUGCUGCUGGUUUUUAGGUUGUUGUAAGUACUUGUUUAGUGCUAUCCUGUACAGGGCAGAUGAAUUAAUCUGAAGAGAGAUUCUGAGUAUUUUUAUCUGACAAAGUCUAUUUUGUUGCAGUA